AUCUUACAAUUUAUUAAAAAAAAGUUUCUGUACUACAAGUGUGGAUUCAGAAUGCUACUAAUAAACGGAAAAAAAUAAGUUUUUGAUCUCUUGUUAAGUAGAUUUCCAUGUUGUAAUCUGUUGCAGAAUAAUCCUCAAGUCUUAGUAACUUCGAGCAGUGGCCUGCGACCAACUUAUAAAAACAUCACAGAAAGGGAUUAACUCGUAGCGAUCCCUUAACAAAUAUCUGCAUGUUUUUAGUUUCAUUGUUUAAAUUGCUAGUUUCAAAUCUAUUAGUCACCUUGUCAAUUGUAGUUGAUGCGACAGAUCACGAUACAGAAAUACCCACCUCUUGUUUUUAUUGAAAAGGCUUUUCCUUUCAUUCAAAUGCAGUAAAGCAAAUUUUAAGUAUUGAUAUUUUUAAUUAAAUGUAUAUUGGGAAGAAAAGGGUAAGAUCUGAUAGUGGGGUUAGACCCGGUAGCUUGAUUCCGUUGAAAUUAGUUCCAUUUUCUAAUGAAUAAACUCUGAGUAACACUUUACUAGUCAAGAAGAACAACUACCAUUUUUUUGUAUUGCAGUUGAUUAAUUCAAGUCGUCUUGGUAAAUAAGUUUGAGUGUUUCCUUAUUUUGAGUUGCCCACCCGGUGUAGAAAAGACUGAAACAGUCAAAGCUUUAUGUAAAUCUCUUAAUAUUGAGUAAUUUAUUUGGUCAAAUAAGCAUCAGGAAAAUGCUAAGCACAAAUGAUGGCAUGUUCUGCUUUGGAGAUCAGAUAACCUCUAGGGAAACUCAAGCUCAGUCCUUAUGUCUAUUUCUCUUACAAUCUUCAAAAUAUUUUUACAUUCAAAUGGAGUUUCCAAAUGUGAAUAAGAGAUCCAAUCCUGCUUCAUUGCAUUCUAAGGAGGUGUUAGAUAAGACAUCUAUUUCUGCAGAAUCUUUAAUUUUUUUGAGAGAGAAUUUAUUCCCUUUAUUGAUAACAUUGAAGAUAACUUUGAAUGUGCACUUUGGUUAAGUGAUGCUGAUUACGUGAGUGCUCUAUGAAUUCUUUGUUGGCACUAACAAAGGAGUUAGGAAUUAUGAAAGUAAAAAAGUUUUUUAGACUUAAUCUGGAACAGAAGCAACUAUGCAACUACUUCUAAAUUAUGCUGACAGGCUAACUACUUAUGAGAUAAUCCUAGGUGAUGCUGUUGCAGCACAACAGCAUUUUGAUCCCAAGUUUUUCAAACAAUUCCGAUCCCAAUGUGGCCUGGAAGCGACCAUUCAGUUUUCUUUUCGGUUCUCUUUAAUUUGAAAGCGGUAGUAACGCCCUUCACUUAUAUGGGAGCAGAAGCACCGCCUGGAAAUACUCAGUUAUUUUCCUGAGACCACUUCACCUUCCGAGUCUCUGUUACCUCUUUACAACAGUGAUUUAGAUAUGGUUUUUUAUCAAUGGCAUGAACAAAAAGUUAGAGAGCCUGAUUGGUGUGAAAAUGAAUUUGACAAGAUUGUUAUCCCCGAAGAAUACAUAGAAGAAUUUUAUGAAAAAAUAAAGGGCUAGUGAAAUAUAGAGUCGUGACACAAUGAAUGAUUGUAUGGUGCCUUUGGCAUCUAGAGGUCUGAUGUUAAAUUUAUUCUUUAGGAAUAAGUGGAGAGCGCUGCACAAACCUCAGUUUCAUGAAAGUUUUUCUAAGGUUCUUCUCUUAAUAUAUGAGACAGCUACAAGUUGACUUAGUUCAUUAUCUUUCAAAAUUGCAAUUAAAAGUUUUAAAUGUUGGUACUUUCAUAU
rnacentral:lncRNA from 1 species